AUGAUCAAACACCGUCGGAUUCUUACAGAUCCAACGGCAGCCCUCACCCCCUCACCCUCUCACCCAACCGCACCCCAACUACCCCCAAACCCUAACUCCCACUUCCCCAUCGCCUCGCCCUCGUCCUCUCCCAUCGAUCCUGCCCGCCGCCGCACCCUGGCCCCUCCGCCCCUUCCAGAUCCAGCGAGUCGCGCGCCUCAGCCUCGCCGGCGACCUUCCCCUCACGUGGAGGAGGGCCACCCGUCCCGCUACAUCAAGCUCACCAAGGACCAGGACGCCCCCGGCGAGGACAUCUGCCCCGGCGAGCUCAACCAGCCCGUCCACAUCCCCCAACUCGAGGGCCGGAGGUGCGGCGAGUGCAGCCAGGUCCUCCUGGAGAUCUACGAGCCGCCUGCCGACGAGCCGUGGUCCACCGGGAUCUUCGGCUGCACCGACGACCCCGAGAGUUGGGCACAAUGCUGGAGCUGGUAG
rnacentral:rRNA from 1 species